rnacentral:lncRNA from 1 species
UACCCUUUCUAUAGGAUAUGAAAUAAAGCAAAAUUAGCUCAAAUGAUUGAAAUUAUUAAGGACUUCGGAUAUCCCAAAGUUCCAAUCCAUCUUAGUAAACAAUGGAUUAGCAUGUGGAGUAGUAUUUUUAGCUAUCUAGGCUACUCUUCGAAAGUAAGUAAAUGCCCCUAAUAAAAUUCUAAAUUUUCUAACAAGAAUUUCCAAUAUUAUCAAUUUUGCCUAAGAGUCAAACCAUGCUUGCACAGGCGAACCUAAUCACAAUAUAUUUUAGCAAAAUUAAAGCUUCCAGGUUCCAAUGCUCCUAGGAUUAAAAUAUUCUGACUUUGCCAACUCAUUAAACCUUAGAAGUUGUAACACCAAACAUAUUUUCUUCAACAUAAAACAACAGACAUCUUAUAAUUAUGAUUUCAUUCUUUAUCAAAUCUAGAUCAGAAACGUGGACUUAUAUAUACCGGGUUUCUAUCAAC